UACGUAGGGUGCGAGCGUUGUCCGGAAUUAUUGGGCGUAAAGAGCGUGUAGGCGGCUUUGCAAGUCCGUUGUGAAAACUCGAGGCUCAACCUCGAGACGCCGGUGGAAACUGCAAAGCUAGAGUCCGGAAGAGGAGAGUGGAAUUCCUGGUGUAGCGGUGAAAUGCACAGAUAUAUAGAAGAACAUCAAUAACGGCGAAGGCAGUUAACUAUUCUGUUACUGACACUGAGGCACGAAAGCGUGGGGAGCAAAACGG
rnacentral:rRNA from 1 species